UACGUAGGGGGCGAGCGUUGUCCGGAUUUAUUGGGCGUAAAGGGCACGCAGGCGGUUGUCUAAGUUUGGAGUGACAGUUCACGGCUUAACUGUGGAAGGCCUUCAGAAACUGGAUGACUUGAGGACCAGAGAGGGACAUAGAAUUCCGGGUGGAGUGGUGAAAUGCGUAGAGAUCCGGAGGAAUACCAAAGGCGAAGGCAGUGUCCUGGCUGGUAACUGACGCUGAGGUGCGAAAGCUAGGGGAGCGAACAGG
rnacentral:rRNA from 1 species